rnacentral:rRNA from 1 species
AAAGCCCGCUCGCCGGAAGACCAAGGGUUCCUGUCCAACGUUAAUCGGGGCAGGGUGAGUCGACCCCUAAGGCGAGGCCGAAAGGCGUAGUCGAUGGGAAACAGGUUAAUAUUCCUGUACUUGGUGUUACUGCGAAGGGGGGACGGAGAAGGCUAUGUUAGCCGGGCGACGGUUGUCCCGGUUUAAGCAUGUAGGCUGGUUAUCCAGGCAAAUCCGGAUAAUCAAGGCUGAGGUGUGAUGACGAGGCACUACGGUGCUGAAGUAACAAAUGCCCUGCUUCCAGGAAAAGCCUCUAAGCAUCAGGUAACAUCAAAUCGUACCCCAAACCGACACAGGUGGUCAGGUAGAGAAUACCAAGGCGCUUGAGAGAACUCGGGUGAAGGAACUAGGCAAAAUGGUGCCGUAACUUC